UGAAUUGAGCUUAAAUCUGAUCUGAAAUCUGAGCUUAAAUUGAGUUUAAAUUGAACUUAAAUCUGAUCUUAAAUUGAGCUUGAAUUGAGUUUAAAUCUGAGCUUGAAUUGAGCUUAAAUCUGAUCUUAAAUCUGAGUUUAAAUUGAGCUUAAAUUGAGCUUGAAUUGAGCUUAAAUCUGAUCUGAAAUCUGAGCUUAAAUUGAGCUUAAAUCUGAGCUUAAAUUGAGCUUGAAUUGAGUUUAAAUCUGAGCUUAAAUUGAGCUGGAAUUGAGCUUAAAUCUGAUCUUAAAUCUGAGUUUAAAUUGAGCUUAAAUUGAGCUUGAAUUGAGCUUAAAUCUGAUCUUAAAUCUGAUCUUAAAUCUGAGCUUAAAUUUAGCUUGAAUUGAGUUUAAAUCUGAGCUUAAAUUGAGCUUGAAUUAAGCUUAAAUCUGAUCUGAAAUCUGAGUUCAAAUCUGAGCUUAAAUUGAGCUUGAAUUGAGUUUAAAUCUGAGCUUAAAUUUAGCUUAAAUCUGAUCUUAAAUCUGAGCUUAAAUUGAGCUUGAAUUGAGUUUAAAUCUGAGCUUAAAUUGAGCUUAAAUUGAGCUUGAAUUGAGUUUAAAUCUGAGCUUAAAUUGAGCUUGAAUUGAGUUUAAAUCUGAGCUUAAAUUGAGCUUGAAUUGAGUUUAAAUCUGAGCUUAAAUUGAGCUUGAAUUGAGUUUAAAUCUGAACUUAAAUUGAGCUUGAAUUGAGUUUAAAUCUGAGCUUAAAUUGAGCUUGAAUUGAGCUUAAAUCUGAUCUGAAAUCUGAGCUUAAAUUGAGCUUGAAUUGAGUUUAAAUCUGAGCUUAAAUUGAGCUUGAACUGAGCUUGAAUUGAGCGUCUCCUGCUGACCGCUGCUCCUUCUGCCGUCCUGCUGAACACUGAAAUAAAACCUCUGGACAACGACACGACCGGGUCUUUGACUUCUUGAUUGUCUCUGUGCGUUUGUGGGUUCUGAGUGAAGCUCUGCUGGCCUGAUGUGGACUUGUAGAGGUGGUCAGCAUCCUGUCCUGAGUAAACCCUUCCUGAGGGAAUGUGCCACUCUACUGGGUGGGGGGGUAUCAAGACCCUACUGUUUUAACUGCUCCUGGACUUUGGUUUUGUUCCUCAUUCACAGAACGAAUCAAACAUCAUCACCAAACCAAGAAUCACAAAUGGAAAUGUCCCCAGAGAUUACAGAGCAGUCACACUGCUGCAUGGAGCGGGUGGAGUGUAGCCGACUAGGCUCUUCAGCUGCUGAUAAACUGGACCCAUUCCAGUUUGUCUAUAAGGCAAGACGAGGGGUGGAGGAUACCUGCCUGACACUCCUGGACACAACCACAAAAAACAUGGACCACCCUCACUCAUGCUCAAGAUGUCCUAGGAGACAGACCUCAGUUUGCUGCAGUAAAUGAAAAACAUCACACAACACACACGGCGUCCCUCAGGGAUGUGUGUUAUCCCCCAUCCUGUUCUCCAUCUACACAAACAUAUCCUGCAGCACGGAUAUGACACUCCUGAACUAUGCAGACGACGUGGCCCUGGUGGCUCACCUAACCGACUCCACCCGACUAGCAGCGAAUCUCCAGCAGGUGGACCCACUGAUCAGACGGAGCAGCUUCACUGGAACUGAACAUGUUCAAAACGAAGGCGCUCUACUGAAACAUGGGCAGGUAGAGGAGCAGGUGGAACAUUUAAAUAUCUGGGCAUUGAAGUUGACUGAGCACCGUCCUUUUCUGACUCCAGCAGCAUCUUCAAAAAGGCCAAAAAACAGUUCCUACUACUGAGAAAGCUGAGGACUUUUAAUGUAAGCAGGAAGGUUUAAACAGCUGUUUACAGAUCACUUCUGACCCACAACGUUUCAUCCUGGUCCCCUUUUCUCUCAGAUAAAGAUGAGUCUAAACUGUGGAAAGUCUUCAGCCAGGCACCACUCAGACCUCAUUGACAGAUCUCUACACAGGCGGUCAAACAUAAAGCCAGCACCAUCAUGACUCCUCACACCCACUCCACAGUUCAUUUCAGCUCCUUCCAUCUGGCCACCGUUACAAAGCACCAUUAGCAAGAACCAACUGCAAGAAAUCAUUCAUUCCAAACAUGGUGCCACCACAACACCAACAGUUUACCACAUCUGGACUGCAGCUACACCCUGAGCAGCUACACCCCGUCUGAACCCCUGAUGAAACCUUCCUGUCAGUCACUAAGCUGAGAUUCAGCUGCAUGGAGUCCCAGGCCAGAGACCCGACCGGAGUCCCUGACCAGAGGCCAGACCAGAGGCCAGACCGGAGUCCCAGACCAGAGUCCCAGACCA